rnacentral:tRNA from 4 species
GCCGGGAUAGCUCAGCUGGUAGAGCAGCGCAUUCGUAAUGCGCGGGUCGUAGGUUCGAAUCCUAUUCCCGGCACCA